CCCAAAGGGGGUUGCCUUUAGUACGGCGAGUGAGCGGCAAAAGCUCAAAUUUGAAAUCUGGUACCUUCGGUGCCCGAGUUGUAAUUUGUAGAAGGUAACUUUGGGGCUGGUCCUUGUCUAUGUUCCUUGGAACAGGACGUCAUAGAGGGUGAGAAUCCCGUGUGGCGAGGAUCCCAGUUCUUUGUAAAGUGCUUUCGAAGAGUCGAGUUGUUUGGGAAUGCAGCUCUAAGUGGGUGGUAAAUUCCAUCUAAAGCUAAAUAUUGGCGAGAGACCGAUAGCGAACAAGUACAGUGAUGGAAAGAUGAAAAGAACUUUGAAAAGAGAGUGAAAAAGUACGUGAAAUUGUUGAAAGGGAAGGGCAUUUGAUCAGACAUGGUGUUUUGCGCCCUCUGCUCCUUGUGGGUGGGGGAAUCUCGCAGCUCACUGGGCCAGCAUCAGUUUUGGCGGCAGGAUAAAUCUGCAGGAAUGUAGCUUGCCUCGGUAAGUGUUAUAUCCUGUAGAAAUACUGCCAGCUGGGACUGAGGACUGCGACUUUACGUCAAGGAUGCUGGCAUAAUGGUUAUAUGCCGCCCGUCUUGAACCACGGACCCACGAC
rnacentral:rRNA from 1 species